AGGAUGAACGCUGGCGGCGUGCCUAACACAUGCAAGUCGAACGAAGCACUCCGGUUGAGAUUCGUCAAGAACUGGAUUUGACUUAGUGGCGGACGGGUGAGUAAUGUAUGAGCAACCUGCCUUUCAGAGGGGGACAACAGUUGGAAACGACUGCUAAUACCGCAUAAUGUAUUGAGGAGGCAUCUCCACGAUACCAAAGGAGCAAUCCGCUGAAAGAUGGGCUCAUAUCUGAUUAGUUAGUUGGCAGGGUAACGGCCUACCAAGACUGCGAUCAGUAGCCGGACUGAGAGGUUGAACGGCCACAUUGGGACUGAGAUACGGCCCAGACUCCUACGGGAGGCAGCAGUGGGGAAUAUUGGGCAAUGGGCGAAAGCCUCGACCCAGCAACGCCGCGUGAAGGAAGAAGGUCUUCGGAUUGUAAACUUCUUUUAUGAGGGACGAAGGACGUGACGGUACCUCAUGAAUAAGCCACGGCUAACUACGUGCCAGCCGCCGC
rnacentral:rRNA from 1 species